AUAUUGGACAAUGGGGGGAACCCUUAUCCAGCGACGCCGCGUGAGUGAAGAAGUAUCUCGGUAUGUAAAGCUCUGUCAGCAGGGAAGAAAGAAAUGACGGUACCUGACCAAGAAGCCCCGGCUAACUACUUGCCAGCAGCCGCGGUAAUACGUAGGGGGCAAGCGUUAUCCGGAAUCACUUGGUGUAAAGGGAGCGUAGACGGUGGUGCAAGUCUGGAGUGAAAGGCAGGGGCUCAACCCCUGGACUGCUCUGGAAACUGUAUGACUGGAGUGCAGGAGAGGUAAGUGGAAUUCCUAGUGUAGCGGUGAAAUGCGUAGAUAUUAGGAGGAACACCAGUGGCGAAGGCGGCUUACUGGACUGUAACUGACGUUGAGGCUCGAAAGCGUGGGGAGCAAA
rnacentral:rRNA from 1 species